CUCGACUGUUGUAGGAUUUGGCCUUCCUGUAUCUGUGGCGCCUAGGGCUGGGCAUGUGUUCUUCUGGCCAGCUCCCCUCAUCCUUGCUCAUAGCUGCCAGAUCGAUGUCGUCUUGGAGAACACAACUGAGGCGACACUGAAAUCCUGCCUCUUUUCUGGGAGGAAAAAGAAGGGCCACUUUUUAAAUUAACUACAAAAACAGCCACACUAUAAAAGGCUCCUUCCAAUACCAAUUCUUAUGGCCACAUAUACAGAGCUAUUCAGUUAAGAUAUAGCAGCUUCUGCACACAUCAGGAAACCUUCAGUAAGGCACAGAAGUCAUAGGAGAAACAAGCUGCCCGCAAGUGAAGCUAAUUUAAGAAGAACUCAACCAACUUCGAGAAUUUUUUUUAAUUCGUUAAAGAAGGCCACACAGAGACACAAGCCCAAGUCCAAAUCAGAACCACAGAUCCUGACCCAAAUAAGGUGUGCGCUGAAUCUGGAUUUUUGAACAUGGAGGUUCAGUAUGGCGAAUUAUAAGAUACUGCAAAAGGGCAUGGUACCAGCUCAAAGAAAGAUGGUAUGGCGUCUAAAAAUGGAGAAUUGGUAGCUGCAUAUUAAAUCACUUUAAAAAAAACUUGUUCUUCAGCAGAAAGGCUUGAAUUUCUAGGAUAACAAAGGCGCAGACGUAGAACUUCAAGUGCUGCUUACAGAGCAAUUCAGCAUUUAGAUAGUUCAGAAAAGUAGAAUCUUGUGUCUUUGGACUUUUAAGCACUUAAUGCUUUAAACUUGAUGUACCUACACUAAGAAAGGAAACACACACUCCAUCCCCAUUCCCCCUCAUCACCCACCUCCCUGUAGCCCUACUCAACUGUAAACCCCUCUGCACAUUUCUAGAAUACACGUGUACUAUGGCAUUGAAGGUAGCGGGAGCUUUUUUGAAGAGUCUCCUAUUGGUACAAGCCUCCAUUUUUCCAAUACCAAGUCAGCUAGGCUUAGUGGUACAACAGAAACCCUCCAACAAUUUUAUUUUAAAUUUCGUAGCUUCACACAGUGUAUUCCUCUGUGCAUAGUGGAAGAUUCUGACUAGAGUAUUUAAACCUCUGACUUAACGCUCAGCAUUUCAUCUCCUUAACAAGUGCCAGUGCUUUACAAAACUGUUCUACAAUCCCGCUCUUAUAAAAUAGUUUCAAAUCAAAUAUGUUUUUGUUCCUCUUAGUUCUGAUAACAUGGCCUCCUUAUUCUAGUGAGACUUUAGCACACUGAAGAUUUAAAAUGAACCCUUUGGAAACUACAGACGAGAUUACAUCCUUUAGAAUGUCCUGUAAAACCCAAGUCAUCAGUAGAGUGGCCCAAACCCCACAAAACAAACUUUGAAGGGGAUCUCUCUCCAUUCCCCUCACAGUAAGCUCCACUUCCUCACCAAAUUUGUUACCUUUGGUGACUUCAGAGAAAUACAGCCAUCUGUACCUUUCACUUGGCUCAGUAGAAGGACAGGGGGUUUCUGGUCCACACUUACAGGGUGAUGGGCUACCUGGCAAAAAAUGCUGUCUCCUUUAGAGUGUCUUCUACGGGGGAUAAAACAUGUCCUUCUGCUCCAUCUCUGUAGUAUAGCCGGUGUAGGCACAUCCUUCCCCUGCUUUUCAGAGACCCUUUCAAACUUUGGGAGAGGCCCCCUGACCUAGCGUCAGCCUCUCCCAAAUCCCGCAAGGCCCUCCUCCUCCGUAGAUCUGGACAAAGGAGAUGCCUGUCCUAUUUAAAUACUGCUAAUGGUAAUUUUCCUACAUAGCAUUUGGAUAGCACAGUAUUAACAAGCCCUUCCUGCACAUACCUUUGUAAAGGAUUAAUGAUGCAAAAGUGACAAUGACAUUCUGAUUCAAGGAAAGUUUUUGUCAGGCUUCAAACAUUAUUUUCAUUGAUAGCCUCUAAUGAAGUGUCACUUCUUUACAGAAACACAUGGGAUGGCAAGUUUAAUCUGUAAUUAAAUUCUAGCAAAUUGGUAUGAAGCACACUAUUGGCUCUUCAGUACUUUGUGUUUAAGUUAUCUGUAGACUGAGGCAAGAAACAAAACAGAGCUCAGUGUGAUGUUCUCUUGUGUACAGGUGCAGCAAUUCCAAGUCCAAAAUGGCAACAAUCUCUGCUCACAG